ensembl:lncRNA
UUGCAGCUGAAUCUAAAAUACAGACAAAAAAGUGAACUCCCUCUGGCAGACAGGAUUCAUUUUCUGCAAGGGGAUUUCAUUUGGUUGUGCACAAAAUAUGUACUGCCCAUGUAAUAUUUUGUGAAAGUUGCCCAUGUACAAAUGAAGACUGAAAAAUAGUUUCCUCAGAAAAACUUAAUGUUUAAAAGAAGGACUAGAAGGAAAUUCUGAUUGCAUGGAUGUGAUUUUUUCCUUUUUUUUUUUUUUUUUAAGUUUUCAUCUUCAAUUUUCCAAAAAAUAGGCUGCCCAGGUGAGUGAGAUCUAACCAAAAAUAUAAGAAAAUACCACAGUAAUAAUGAUCUUCUACUAUUUUUUAUAGUGCUUUUUCAGUUACUGUUUUUUGAAACAUAUCUUUAUUUUUUGGAACAUAGAUGGUACCACUAGUGUCAAUUCCUUUGUGAAAUGGAUUUCCAAUAUAAUUGUGAAGUGAAAUGGAAAAACAAGAAAACAAGGACAGGAUGCUUACUGCUCAACUGACAGACAUUCACACAGCUUGAAAGGAAAGGAAAUACAGCAAAUCCACUUCCUAUUUGAGUCAAACCAUAGUGCUAAAAAAAGAACCAGAGAUAAUAACAGCAAACUAUGCCAUAAAAGAAGAAGUAUAGUUUGGAGCGUCAGUCUGUGCUGAAAUACACCAAGUCUUCUCCACUACCUCAUACAGUUCUGCAUUCAUGAAAGCCAUGUUAACCAUGUCUGACAAAAACAAUUUAGAAAACAAUCAACUGCUUCAGCUUACAAGAAGAACUAAAUAGUGCUCAACUCCAAGAUAAUAAGAAUUGUUAAAAAAAAAAACACGAAACAAAACAACGCUAUCCCUAGUUCUUCUCUUGGUUUGGCAGAAUGCCAAAUUUGCAUGCUGUGGGGGUUUAAGAAGCUUUAAAUUAUAAAGACUAACUAUGUUUUAGCUAGUGCUUUUUAUCCAUGAUCAGGAUUCCACACUCUCUGGUACAGUGUAUAAGAUUUAUAUUCUAAGUAUAUUAAUAAUUACCGUUGGAAGGCUGAGAGGCACAAACUUCACGUGCAGUUGGCAAUGUUGUGAAAUCAGUUAAGACAAGAUUUUUAAGAGCAUAGUAUCUCACUGGGGCUGUGCUGCAUGGGGCAAGAGGCCCUUUGUUACUAGUUACGUUGAAUUUUGACAAUGAAUUAGUUUGCUCUUAAGGGGGCUGAGGAUGGCAUUGUACUUCACUCUUGCAAUGUAAAUUCAGGAAAAAGUAAAACUUUUGCUUUCUAUUAUAAAUUUUAUGGCCCACUUUUGAGUUGUACCUAGGUGAAAUUAUUGUAAAGAGUGUUUUCUCAGCAGCCAAAUUACUACUACUGCAGUGAAACAAUUCUGUUCCAAGCCUAGGAAGUACAGAUAAGAAAAAAAAUAGAAACAUUAAUCUAAACUUUGUGGUUCAAUAAUUCUGUAGUUGCAAUUCCACCUUCCUUUUUUUUUUUUUUUUUAAUUAUUUAUUGUUUUGGUGAGCUAAUUCAUCCAUAUCGGGUGUUAUAUCAGUUCUGAAUAGGCUGAAGUCGCUGUAGUUUAUAACACUCUCACAGGGGUUUCUGAACCUUUUAAAUCUGUGGUAAGAGAGGCAGUGGUAGUGUAGCUACAUGCUAGCUGUACGUGAAUAGAGAACUAUUAUGCA